GGUUCGAUCAUGGCUCAGAUUGAACGCUGGCGGGAUGCUUUACACAUGCAAGUCGAACGGCGGCACGGACUUCGGUCUGGUGGCGAGUGGCGAACAGGUGAGUAAUGUAUCGGAACGUGCCUAGUAGCGGGGGAUAACUACGCGAAAGCGUAGCUAAUGCCACAUACGCCCUUCGGGGAAAGCGGGGGACCUUCGGGCCUCGCACUAUGGAAACGGCCGAUAUCGGAUUAGCUAGUUGGUGAAUGUUUUGGCUCCGCAAGGCGACGAUCCGUAGCUGGUUUGAAGGACGACCAGCCACUGGACAGGACUGCGGCCCAGACUCCUACGGAGGCAGCAGUGGGAAUUUUGGACAAUAGAAACCCUGAUCCAGCCAUCCCGCGUGUGCGAUGAAGGCCUUCGGGUUGUAAAGCACUUUUGGCAGGAAAGAAACGGCGUACCGGGAUAAUACCCCGUGCAAGCGGUAACCUGCAGAAUAAGCACCGGCUAACUACGUGCCAGCAGCCGCAGUAAUACGUAGGGUGCAAGCGUUAAUCGGAAUUACUGGGCGUAAAGCGUGCGCAGGCGGUUCCGGAAGAAAGAUGUGAAAUCCCAGAGCUUAACUUUGGAACUGCAUUUUUAACCGAGCUAGAGUGUGUCAGAGGGAGGUGGAAUUCCGCGUGUAGCAGUGAAAUGCGUAGAUAUGCGGAGGAACACCGAUGGCGAAGGCAGCCUCCUGGGAUAACACUGACGCUCAUGCACGAAAGCGUGAAGACAAGCAAGUUAAAUACCCUGGUGUCCACGCCCUAAAAACGUGUCAACUAGCUGUUGGGGCCUUCGGGCUUGCUCGGUAGCGCAGCUAACGCGUGAAGUUGACCGCCUGAAAUACGGUCGCAAGAUUAAAACUCAAAGGAAUUGACGAGAGGGACCCGCACAAGCGGUGGAUGAUGUGGAUUAAUUCGAUGCAACGCGAAAAACCUUACCUACCCUUGACAUGUCUGGAAUCCCGAGAAAGAGAUUUGGGAGUGCUCGCAAGAGAACCGGAACACAGGUGCUGCAUGGCUGUCGUCAGCUCGUGUCGUGAGAUGUUGGGUUGAUCCGCAACGAGCGCAACCCUUGUCAUUAGUUGCUGCAGGGCCUCUAAUGAGACUGCCGGUAUAGGCUUCGGAAGGUGGGGAUGAUGACGUCAAGUCCUCAUGGCCCAUAUGGGUGGGGGCUUCACACGUCAUACAAUGGUCGGGACAGAGGAGUGCUAACCACGAGGAGCCAAUCCCAGAAACCCGAUCGUAGUCGGAUCGCAGUCUGCAACUCGACUGCGUGAAGUCAAGAUCGCUAGUAAUCAUGGAUCAGCAUGUCGCGGUGAAUGCGUUCCGGGUCUUGUACGCACCGCCCGUCACACCACCAUGGGGUGGGUUUUACCAGAAGUAGUUAGCCUAACCGUAAGGAGGGCGAUUACCACGGUAGGAUUCAUGACUGGGGUAAGUCGUAACAAGGUAAAG
rnacentral:rRNA from 1 species